UUGAAGCCAUCUUGAAGUGAAAGCCGUGGCGUUGGAGUCCAACUUCGACCAUCAUAAAUGACCUUCGGACAGGACACAGAUUCCUAAGCUCAGAUUUAUUAUGGACUCAAGAAGUCUCUUGCGGUUUCGAUGUAAAUUAAGACGAAAGAUGCAAUGCAAAAGCCUUUUCUAUAUAAGAAACCCAAAAUGAAGAUGGCUCCAGUACUAGUAAUUGGGAAUCGGAGUCGGAGGAAUCGGAGCACCGACUUACGGCGCAUCAGCCCGAAAACUUUGCGGCGCAUCCCCGGAGCUAUAUAGAACACCGGCUCUGGAUAUUGAAGCUGAAGAGGACAUCCAUAACUAAAGUGAAAUACUUUCUACAAGCCAUGCAUAACAAGAAUAAUUGAUCAACCACAUAUCAGGACCAAGGAUGAGGACCAGGACAGGAGAUCAGGACUAGAACAGAGGAUCAGGACCACGACCGAGGAUCAGGACCAAGGAUCAGAACCAGGACGGAGGACCAGGACAGAUGAUCAGAACCAAGGAUCAGGAUGGCGAUCAGGACAAUGACAGAUGAUCAGGACCAGGGCAGGUGAUCAGAACUACUACCGAAGAUCAGAACCACGACAGAUGAUUAGAACAAGGAUCAGGAUGGGGAUCAGGACAAUGACAGACGUUAAGGACCAGGACGGAGGAUCAGGACAAGGACAGAUGAUCAGAACUAGGACCAAGGACCAGGACGGAGGAUCAGGACCAAGACAGAUGAUCAGAACCGGGACUAAGGACCAGGGCUAAGGAUCAGGACCAAGGAUCGUGACCCAAAACAAGAGUCAAGACCAGGACCCUGGAUCAGUGCAAGGAUCAAUCAGGACCAAUCCAAGUGCCAUAGAAUGCAGAGGAGAUUGCUCAGAGAGACAAGCUAACAGAAGAUCGGCAAGAUGCCCAACAAGGUCUAGCUUUAAUAGG